CCUACGGGAGGCAGCAGUGAGGAAUAUUGGUCAAUGGACGGAAGCCUGAACCAGCCAAGCCGCGUGCAGGAAGAAGGCUCCAUGCGUCGUAAACUUCUUUUGUCGGGGGGCAAACGGCGCCACGCGUGUCUUUCUGAGUGUACCCUACGAAAAAGCAUCGGCUAACUCCGUGCCAGCAGCCGCGGUAAUACGGAGGAUUCAAGCGUUAUCCGGAUUUAUUGGGUUUUAAGGGUGCGUAGGCGGUCCGGUAAGUCAGCGGUUAAAACCCGAGGCUCAACCCCGGGGUAGCCGCUGAUACUGUUGGACUAGAGAGGGGGAGCGGUAGGCGGAAUGUGCGGUGUAGCGGUGAAAUGCAUAGAGAUCGUGCAGAACGCCGAUUGCGAAGGCAGCGUACCGGG
rnacentral:rRNA from 1 species